rnacentral:tRNA from 1 species
GGAGGCGUAGCUCAGUGGUAGAGCAUUCGACUGCAGACCGAGAGGUCCCCGGUUCGAACCCGGGCGUCUCCU